GGAUAUAUCUNNNNNNNNNNGAAUAAAGCAGUGUACAAAUGUCUAUAUAUAUAUCCAGAUAUAGUAUAUUUAUAUGAUAAUUAUAUUAUAUAUCUGAUAUAUAAUAUAUUAUACAUAAUAUUUCAAUUAUUGUUAUAUAAAGUAUAAUAUAUAUAAUAAUUCCAUUUCUAGAAAUAGAUACUAAAGAAAUAAUCAUAAAGUGAUGCAAAAAAGCAGGUAUCAAGAUGUAAUUAAUUAAUGUAAUUGUAAAAAUAUAAUAAUAUGUAAUGUAUGAUGUAGGCUCAUCAUAUAACGUGAAGCUGAAA
rnacentral:lncRNA from 1 species